GCGGGGAUAGUGGCUUCUCGCAGACUCCGCGACCUACUGACCCGGCAGAGAUGGUAGAGUGCUUCAACAAGAUUUCGAGAGACGCUGACUGUCGGGCGGUGGUGAUCUCUGGUGCAGGAAAAAUGUUCACUGCAG
rnacentral:ncRNA from 2 species